rnacentral:rRNA from 1 species
UCUGGCGGCUGUAGCGCGGUGGUCCCACCUGACCCCAUGCCGAACUCAGAAGUGAAACGCCGUAGCGCCGAUGGUAGUGUGGGGUUUCCCCAUGCGAGAGUAGGGAACUGCCAGAC